rnacentral:rRNA from 1 species
GAUGAACGCUGGCGGCGUGCUUAAUACAUGCAAGUCGAGCGAAGCGGAGACGGGUCAGUAAGACGAGGAUAACCUCCUAUAAGACUGGGCUAACUUGGGGAAGCCGGAGCUAAACCGGAAACUGAUAGAUGGAGCCGCGCUGCAUUAGCUAGUUGGUAAGGUAACGGCUUACCAAGGCAACGAUGCAUAGCCGACCUGAGAGGGUGAGAGGCCACACGGGAACGUAGACACGGUCCAGACUCCUACGGGAGGCAGCAGGAGGGAAUCGUGCGCAAUGGGCGAAAGCCUGACGGAGCCACGCCGCGUGGGUGAUGAAGGUCUUAGGGUCGUAAAAUUCUGUUAUUAGGGAAGCGGUACCUAAUCAAGAAGCCACGGCUAACUACGUGCCAGCAGCCGCGGUAAUUC